GUUUAACGUUAACGUUAACGUUAACGUUAACGUUAACGUUAAACGUUAACGUUAACGUUAACGUUAACGUUAACGUUAACGUUAACGUUAACGUUAACG
rnacentral:pre_miRNA from 1 species